rnacentral:hammerhead_ribozyme from 1 species
GUCCGGCUGACGAGUCCCAAAUAGGACGAAACGUGAGUGCUCAGAAU